rnacentral:rRNA from 1 species
CCUACGGGAGGCAGCAGUGGGGGAUAUUGCACAAUGGGGGAAACCCUGAUGCAGCGACGCCGCGUGUGGGAAGACGGUCCUCUGGAUUGUAAACCACUGUCCCCAGGGACGAAGAUGACGGUACCUGGGGAGGAAGCUCCGGCUAACUACGUUCCAGAAGCAGCGGUAAUACGUAGGGAGCAAGCGUUGUCCGGAAUUACUGGGGGAAAAGGGAGCGUAGGCGGGAUGGCAAGUUGGGGGGUAAAUCCACCGGCUAAACUGGUAGUCGCACCCAAAACUGCCAUUCUUGAGUGAAGUAGAGGCAGGUAGAAUUCCUAGUGGAGCGGUGAAAUGCGUAGAGAUUAGGAGGAACACCAGUGGCGAAGGCGGCCUGCUGGGCUUUGACUGACGCUGAGGCUCGAAAGUGUGGGGAGCAAACAGGAUUAGAUACCCCAGUAGUC